rnacentral:ncRNA from 2 species
UUACAAUAGCGAAGUUUUGGUGCCCGCCCGCAUAUUCAUGCAGGCAGUUAAACGGGAAACACGAUGCUCUUCAGAGCCAACGUGUGCUGCCCCCGCAACGGUAAGCAAGCGUCACGACAGAAGCCGACAUGGUGACUGUGUGACAGACGGUCCUUCGUACCACUGUGCAGUCCGCAUGGGAAGGUCGACCGGUUCAUCUUGCCAGCCCGGAUACCGGCCAGAACAGGUGGAAGCAA